rnacentral:rRNA from 1 species
UAUCUCUGUAGAGUCUGCAUAUCAAUAAGCGGAGGAAAAGAAACUAACUAGGAUUCCCUCAGUAACGGCGAGUGAAGCGGGAAGAGCUCAAAUUUGAAAUCUUCAAGGUUCUACCUUGACGAAUUGUAGUUUAAAGAAGUGUUUUCUGUUGGAGUUUUGGUAAAAGUUCUUUGGAAUAGGACAUCAUAGAGGGUGAGAAUCCCGUAUUUGACCAUUAUUUCCAGCUUUGUGAUACACUUUCAAAGAGUCGGAUUGUUUGGGAAUGCAGUCCAAAAUGGGUGGUAAAUUUCAUCUAAAGCUAAAUACUGGCGAGAGACCGAUAGCGAACAAGUACCGUGAGGGAAAGAUGAAAAGAACUUUGAAAAGAGAGUUAAACAGUACGUGAAAUUGUCAAAAGGGAAGCGUUUGACACCAGUGUUGUUUUCUCGAAAAUCAAUUAAGAAUGGCAUGAUUUUGUGUUGUAUUGACCUUAUCAGCUUUCUGCACUCUUUUCUAGUCUUUCUUAAUGCACUUUUCGGUUAACAAGUCAACAUCAAUUUCUUUUGUUGUAAAAGAGUCAUUGGAAGGUGGCUUUCUUUUCGGAGAAAGUGUUUAUAGCCUAUUGCCUCUACAAUCGGAGAGAUUGAGGUCUGCAGCGUAGAUCCUUCGGGGUUAGAUACAUUUGUGCUAAGUUAUAGCCUUUCAUAGACAACUUGUUGACUAUGAUCAGUCAUGUAGCUUACUCGCUUAUGCUAUUUUACCUACGCUUAGGAUGUUGAAGAUGUAGCACAUCAU